AUGCUGAGGAGAAGGAUGUGGGGCACUGCCCUCCCUGGCUCUGCCUGGGGCCCCAGCCUGCUCUGCUGUGUCACUGUCUUUCUCCUGGGAACAAAACACAUGGAGGCUGCAGUCACCCAAAGUCCAAGAAGCAAGGUGACAGUAACAGGAGGAAAGGUGGAACUAAGCUGUAACCAGACGGAUAACCAUGGCAACAUGUACUGGUACCAGCAGGACUUGAGUCAUGGACUGAGGCUGAUCUAUUACUCAUAUGGCGCUGGCAGCACUGAGAUAGGAGAUGUCCCUGAUGGGUACAAGGUCACCAGACCAAGGACAGAGGACUUCUCUCUCAUUCUGGAGAAGGCUUCCCCCUCUCAGACAUCUGUGUACUUCUGUGCCAGCAGUGAUACACAUCAGUGUGUGGCUGCCUCCCCUCUGCACAGAAAGUAA